AUGGCUGAAGGGAGUGCGCAAUCCAGGUAUGUGAAGCUGACCAAGGAACAAGAGGCCCCAACUGAGGAUAUCAACCCUGGAGAGCUUAACCAACCCAUUGAAGUUCCACAGUUAAUUGUUGAGAGGUGUGUGGAAUGUGGGCAACCCUUGCCUGAAAGAUACCAGCCCCCAGCUGAUGAAGAUUGGACAACUGGGAUAUUUGGUUGCACUCAAGAUCCUGAGAGUUGCUGGACUGGACUUUUUUGCCCAUGUGUGUUGUUUGGGCGUAACGUUGAAACAAUACGAGAAGAAAUUCCCUGGAAUAAUGCCUGUGUUUGCCAUGCCAUGUGUGUUGAAGGAGGAAUUGUUGUUGCAACAGCAAGUGCAUUCUUUCAUGGUAUUGAUCCUAAGACGUCAGUUCUCAUCUGUGAGACAUUGCUAUUUGCCUGGUGGAUGUGUGCAAUCUACACUGGUCUAUUUAGGCAGUCAUUGCAAAAGAAAUACCAUCUCAAGGAUUCACCAUGUGAUCCAUGCAUGGUGCACUGCUGCCUGCACUGGUGUGCUUUGUGUCAAGAGCACAGGGAGAUGAAGGGUCACUUAUCUGACAAUACAACAAGCAUGGCAAUGACUGUUGUUAACCCACCGCCAGUUCAAGAGAUGAACUCCAGUGAGAAGAAGGACGACGCUGCAGCACCAUCUGCAGAGUCUUCCGGUGAAGAAAACACCAAUAAGGAGCUGGCGCUGCAGCCUAUGUAAGAUUAGCAAUUCUGCUAUGUACUAG